UACGUAGGGUGCAAGCGUUGUCCGGAAUUAUUGGGCGUAAAGAGCUCGUAGGCGGUCUGUCGCGUCGGAUGUGAAAACCCAGGGCUCAACCCUGGGCCUGCAUUCGAUACGGGCAGACUAGAGUUCGGUAGGGGAGACUGGAAUUCCUGGUGUAGCGGUGAAAUGCGCAGAUAUCAGGAGGAACACCGGUGGCGAAGGCGGCAUCCUGGACCGACACUGACGCUGAGGAGCGAAAGCCAGGGGAGCAAACGGG
rnacentral:rRNA from 1 species